rnacentral:rRNA from 1 species
AAACUGAAGAGUUUGAUCCUGGCUCAGAUUGAACGCUGGCGGCAUGCCUUACACAUGCAAGUCGAACGGCAGCACGGAGCUUGCUCUGGUGGCGAGUGGCGAACGGGUGAGUAAUAUAUCGGAACGUACCCUGGAGUGGGGGAUAACGUAGCGAAAGUUACGCUAAUACCGCAUACGAUCUAAGGAUGAAAGUGGGGGAUCGCAAGACCUCAUGCUCGUGGAGCGGCCGAUAUCUGAUUAGCUA